rnacentral:rRNA from 1 species
GAUGAACGCUGGCGGCGUGCCUAAUACAUGCAAGUCGAGCGAACGGACGAGAAGCUUGCUUAUCUGAUGUUAGCGGCGGACGGGUGAGUAACACGUGGAUAACCUACCUAUAAGACUGGGAUAACUUCGGGAAACCGGAGCUAAUACCGGAUAAUAUUUUGAACCGCAUGGUUCAAAAGUGAAAGACGGUCUUGCUGUCACUUAUAGAUGGAUCCGCGCUGCAUUAGCUAGUUGGUAAGGUAACGGCUUACCAAGGCAACGAUGCAUAGCCGACCUGAGAGGGUGAUCGGCCACACUGGAACUGAGACACGGUCCAGACUCCUACGGGAGGCAGCAGUAGGGAAUCUUCCGCAAUGAGCCAAAGCCUGACGGAGCAACGCCGCGUGAGUGAUGAAGGUCUUCGGAUCGUAAAACUCUGUUAUUAGGGAAGAACAUAUGUGUAAGUAACUGUGCACAUCUUGACGGUACCUAAUCAGAAAGCCACGGCUAACUACGUG